rnacentral:rRNA from 1 species
GACGAACCGUGCGAACGUUAUUCGGAAUCACUGGGCUUAAAGGGCGCGUAGGCGGGCCACCAAGUCAGGGGUGAAAGCCUCCGGCUCAACCGGAGAAGUGCCUUUGAUACUGGUGGCCUAGAGGGAGGUAGGGGCCUGCGGAACUUCCGGUGGAGCGGUGAAAUGCGUAGAUAUCAGGAGGAACACCGGUGGUGUAGACGGCUAACUGGACCACGACUGACGCUGAGGCACGAAAGCGUGGGUAGCAAACAGG